GUCCCUUCGUCCCCGCCUCGUUCUAAUCCACACGAGGUGAGGACGAGCACGACUCCAACCGCAACGCACUCGGUCACGAGUGUCAUCGCGUGGCGGAGGAGGGCCUCCCACCUCCAUGGCGUCCGUCUCCAUCGCGCCUCGCGCGCCGCUCCCGGCGGCGGUGGCCUCCUCCUCUCGGCGGCAGCUGGAUCCGAACCCUAGCGGCCGGUUCCUCGCCGCUCGCCUCCGCGUAGUCCGCCGCCUCGCCGGAGCGGCGCCAUCGCGCCGCGCGCCGGUCGUGCGGUGCGCCGCGCGCAGCCCCGACGCGGACGCCGGCGGCGAGCGGCGGCGGCGGCGGGGCUGGGACGCGAUGUUCCACGACGCCUUCCAGGGCGCCGUGCGGCGGUGGAGCGAGUACGUCAGUAACUACUGGCCCUCGUCUCCAGCAGCGAAGGAGGCGGGUGUGGGGAAGAGGAUUGAGAGUUCUCACGAAGAGGAGGCGAUGAGCGGGGAUGAAGAGGAGGAAGAGGAGAGGGAGAUGGAGGAGGAAGGGGGAAAGUGGAGCUGGGAUAGGUGGAAGCAGCACUUUGCUCUCAUUGAGGAGAGCGAGCGCCUGGUUGACGAGCUACAGCUGCAACUCCGAGCUGCUGUUUAUAGAGAAGACUAUAGGAGUGCUUAUAAGUUGAAGUUGGCUAUUGCCGCUACUGCAAAAAACGACACUGUGGGCAGAGUUAUCUCUGACUUAAAUAGGGCGAUAGAAGAGGAGCGCUACAGGGAUGCAACGUAUAUCAGAGAUCAUGCUGGCGCAGGAUUGCUGGGAUGGUGGUCAGGAAUUUCUGGAAAUUUGUCCGAUCCAUAUGGUCUUAUAGUUCGUAUAAGUGCUGAACAUGGUCGAUAUGUGGCAAGAAGUUAUGAUACAAGACAGCUGGCUUCAGACGGCCCUGGUUUCCCUAUAUUUGAAAUAUACUUUGCAGAAGCAAAUGGAGGAUACAACCUGCAGGCAGUGCAUCUGAAACCAGAUGAUAGUGAUUCUGAUCAAUUGCCAAACAUGUUAAGAGAGAAACUUGGCAUCGACAGUAUAAACAUAUCUAGCAGCUCAGUAGGGUCUAAGCAUGAAGAAUUUGAUGGAGGUGUAAAAAUGGACGAUCAAGAUAGUGAUGAUAGCAAUAUUGCUGCUGGCCCAGCUGGUUUGAAAGACUUGUCAAGUGAUUCAACGGCAGUUCCCAGGAUUAAAAUCUUGAAAGUGGUACCCAUGGAAAAUGUCAACCAAGACUACGUAAUCAAUAUUUUCGAUCAGAUUUCAGAGGAAGAUGAUGACAAUGAUGAUCCUGAGGUUGAAAAUGAAUCUUCACAAAAUAUUGGUGAUGACGAUAAUGGUGAAGGAGCAGAAACAGUUUCUGCAGAAGAGAAUGGUGAUGAAUCUGGUGAUGAAAGUGAUAUCGAAGCCUUGAUUUCUAUAGAUUUUGUCAGUGAGAAUAACAAUGAUUAUGCUUCUCAUUCAUCAGCUGAAGUUUUUGAACGAAUGCCAGCUAGAUUAGAAAAAAGAGACCGCUUCUCAUUUUCCUUCUAUACUGAACAAUACAGUAAAAAACAAGUUGCGGGAAAGGCCCAGCAGACUUCGAAGAGAACAGUUGGUUUGCAUACCAGUCAGCAGGAUGAUGAUGGUUUUGUCCAGCUUGAUCGUGUAAAGUUGAUUGGCAGCAACAAGAAACUAUCGAUACUACAACUUGGCAUCAAGCAACAUAAUAACAAGGUUCAGCAAAAACUGUAUGGAGUUACCCAUUUCAGCCGUAUUCAGAUGCCUGUAUCUUCCGAUCCUCUUACCGGCUUAUAUGUUACUGCAUCAGGAUUUGACUCAGAAAUUCUUAGUUUGCAACGAAAAUUUGGUCAAUGGCGGGAGGAUAAUUCGUCUGAGGAGCACAGGGACCUACUGUUCUAUGAGUAUGUUGAAGCUGUAAAAUUAACAGGAGACAACCUUGUGCCAGCCGGUCAGGUUGUCUUCCGUGCUAAAGUUGGCGAACACUAUCAACUUCCUCAUAAGGGAAUCAUCCCUAGAGAACUUGGAGUGGUUGCUAGGUACAAGGGGCAAAGGAAAAUUGCAGAUCCUGGUUCCCAAAACCCUCUGUGGGUUGAUGGAGAGCUUUUGAUACUAGAUGGAAAGUUCAUCAGAGAUGGUCCUGUGAUAGCUUUCUUUUACUGGACAUCGAAUUUUCAUCUUUUCGAGUUCUUUAGGCGGUUGAGGCUUCCUGACUACCUAUAAGAGAAGAAGUUAAAGAGGUGGUGCAUGUUGGCUGUUGCAGGCCAUCAGUGAUCCAAAUUUGGCUUAGUUUCUUUCUGGAAAUGCUAUAUUCAUCCUAAAUGGUCAUGUUUCUGUUAGCCUCCUAAUAAGCAUUAAAAUGGACAAAAUGGAUCCAAUUGGAUGGAUUUUAUUUUGAGACGGCCUCAUAGGGUCGUUCCAAUCUCGCAAGACGAUGUGCAUAGCUGCCUCUGGAGCCAACUUGAGUCUUGCCUGCCAUUACAUUUCCCAAAUACCGGGUUCAAUGUGGAGAAGACCCGCUGUAUGUUGCGUGAGUUUUAAGUGGCGUCUCCACUCUGAAAACCUGCCAUUUGGGUGAAGAAAGAGCUCAGAGCUAGGGAAAUAUCCUACUGCCAACAUGGGUGAGCCGUGGACACUAUCAUAUUCUGAGUCCACUCCGACUCUGCUCAUCCACCUGAUUAACAACUUGAGACCAAGGCAUUUACCCUGGGUUUGUCGCAUAAAAUAGUCACACAAUUCCGUGUUUCUCAGAACAAGUAGAGUUAAAGCACUUAAAAGGUUAGGUUAUGUAGCCACAAAUAAUUCUGGAUUUUGAGUGCAUCUUGAUAGCUUUCAUGCAGGAACAGUUGUAUGUGAAAUGUGAGCAACACUUUUGUGCAGUGUGAUCCAAUAAUCGAGCUACAAUCAACAGUGGCCAUCACAUUUGUACAUAUAUUUUCAACCACCAGCAGAGGCGUAGACUAUACAUGUCAACACAGAUUUAUAAAUGUAUUGAAGCUCGUUUAACCA